rnacentral:rRNA from 1 species
UACGAAGGGGGCUAGCGUUGCUCGGAAUCACUGGGCGGAAAGGGCACGUAGGCGGACUCGUAAGUCGGGGGGGAAAUCCUGGAGCUCAACUCCAGAACUGCCUUCGAUACUGAGAGUCUCGAGUCCGGGAGAGGUGAGUGGAACUGCGAGUGUAGAGGUGAAAUUCGUAGAUAUUCGCAAGAACACCAGUGGCGAAGGCGGCUCACUGGCCCGGUACUGACGCUGAGGUGCGAAAGCGUGGGGAGCAAACAGG